AUUGAACGCUGGCGGCAGGCCUAACACAUGCAAGUCGAACGAGUGGCGGACGGGUGAGUAAUGUCUGGGAAACUGCCUGAUGGAGGGGGAUAACUACUGGAAACGGUAGCUAAUCCCGCAUACCAUCGGAUGUGCCCAGAUGGGAUUAGCUAGUAGGUGGGGUAAAGGCUAACAUAGGCGACGAUCCCUAGCUGGUCUGAGAGGAUGACCAGCCACACGUGAACUGUGACACGGUCCAGACUCCUACGUGAGGCAGCAGUGGGGAAUAGUGCACAAUGGGCGCAAGCCUGAUGCAGCCAUGCCGCGUGUAUGAAGAAGGCCUUCGGUGUGUAAAGUACUUUCAGCGGGGAGGCGUUACCCGCAGAAGAAGCACCGGCUAACGCCGUGCCAGCAGCCGCGGUAAUUC
rnacentral:rRNA from 1 species